rnacentral:rRNA from 1 species
GACGAACGCUGGCGGCGUGCUUAACACAUGCAAGUCGAACGGAAAGGCCCUGCUUUUGUGGGGUGCUCGAGUGGCGAACGGGUGAGUAACACGUGAGUAACCUGCCCUUGACUUUGGGAUAACUUCAGGAAACUGGGGCUAAUACCGGAUAGGAGCUCCUGCUGCAUGGUGGGGGUUGGAAAGUUUCGGCGGUUGGGGAUGGACUCGCGGCUUAUCAGCUUGUUGGUGGGGUAGUGGCUUACCAGGCUUUGCCGGGUAGCCGGCCUGAGAGGGUGACCGGCCACAUUGGGACUGAGAUACGGCCCAGACUCCUACGGGAGGCAGCAGUGGGGAAUAUUGCACAAUGGGCGGAAGCCUGAUGCAGCAACGCCGCGUGCGGGAUGACGGCCUUCGGGUUGUAAACCGCUUUCGCCUGUGACGAAGCGUGAGUGACGGUAAUGGGUAAAGAAGCACCGGCUAACUACGUG